rnacentral:rRNA from 1 species
UACAGAGGGUGCAAGCGUUAAUCGGAAUUACUGGGCGUAAAGCGUGCGUAGACGGUUAUGUAAGUCAGAUGUGAAAGCCCCGGGCUCAACCUGGGAAUUGCAUUUGAGACUGCAUAGCUAGGGUGCGGAAGAGGGAAGCGGAAUUUCCGGUGUAGCGGUGAAAAUGCGUAGAUAUCGGAAGGAACACCAGUGGCGAAAGCGGCUUCCUGGUCCAGCACCGACGUCAGGCACGAAAGCGUGGGGAGCAAACAGG